UCGUCAAAUUUUUAUAACAUUGUCCAAAAUUCCUCAGAAAACUGGUCAGUUCCCCAAACACCCUUCACUUCAUCUCCCUCAUCUCAAUAACCCUAAUCCGCCGCCCUUUCACUCGCCGGCGGCGCCGCCUCAGACCAACCUCCAACCACCACCAAAAUCCAGCCAUGCAACCAUCACCCUUCCCUGAGUCCUAAUCCACCACCACUUCUCCCCAAAUCCUCGCCAAAUCGGACCAGUUUUGAAUCUAAAAAUUGAAGGAAAGAAAAUCUUUCAAGAUUUUAGUUUUUUAUGAACAAUGCGGCUUGAAACUAGUGUUGUUCAUUUGUUCUCAAAGAGAACAUGCGGGUAAUACCAGUUUCGGGUCAAAUCGAAAUCGCCUGUCAAGCCCUAUCCGUAUGGCCAUCUAGGUAUCUCUUGGAACCAUAAACAACAUGUGAUAUGUGAAUCUGCACUUUGAAUGUGAAACACUUUGGAUACAAGUUGAAUCUCAAGUUUAUUUCUUCUAUUUCUGUAUAAUUAUGUAUAUAAACCCUAUAUUAUGCAUGUUAGUCUAGCCCUUUCUCAUGUUGCUAAAGUCUUGUAAAGUGAAUCCAUGUUUGCUCGUUGGUCUGAUUCUGUGAGGGUUUGAGUAUGAGGUUUGGAUUCACAUGAAUUGAAGUUCUGAUCAUAUAGGUUACAAAGUUAUUGAAAUAGGUUUUUGGACAUAUGUGUGUCGUGAGAUCACUGUAAUAGAAGUUCAGGUUUAAGCAUGUGAUUCGUACUAGCUUGUUUAGCUGUUAAUAGUUAGCUACUGUUGAUUGUAACUAUUGGGGUUUGCUUUCUCAAGAGAUUGUUGGAUGUGUACUCAUGAUGAGCUACUAUUGAGCAUGUUAAUGGGUUUAGCUAUUAUUGAAUACGUUAGUAGUCUGAAUCAUCCUAUCCUUUAAAAACUAUAUAAAUGGUAAUGUUGUUU